GGAAAGCUUAUAUUAUUUUUAAAAUUUUGGGUCAAAUUCCUUUCUGGCUCAGUGCAUUUUCUACAUAUUGAUUUUGCUAGUUAUGUAAGGCAUAAAAACAGCCCUUUGUCACCAAAAGCAGAACAGCUGUUUCCAGGACCACGAGUCAUAUGCAUGACUUCUCUUUUUAACUUCCCACUGGCUUUUUAAAAAUAUACUUUAAAUCAGUUUUGAUUUUCAGUGAUGAAGAGAGGCAGCAAUAAGUUCUCUCAAGAAUAGAAGAUUUGGCCAAAACAUUAAAAUUUCAUGAGAAGGUUAUGCUGUGAAAUUGUUUUAAACUCUGACAUUGACUCAAUGCUAUAGAAUAUGGGAGAAGUAUAUAUGAUUGCUUACGUGUAAAAUUCAGACUGGAGGCACUAAAAUUGUUGUCUCUAAGCAAUGAUGAAACACAGCGACUGAGUGGCUGCUGAAGUUGUUUUGGAUAACCAGGCAGUCAAGACCUUCUCUGACCAAGCUAGCAUCAGAGCGGUUAAAGUGUUUGUUGCUGGAAUACCUAAAAGCAAAAUAAUGUUAGCAGCAGCGGGGGUGGGGGGGGGGGAAGAAAUUAGGCUACAGUCCCACUCUUGUGGCAAUGUAUUCAUAUAUAGUUAAUGAAUUAAAACUAUUAAAACUAUUAAAGUGGCCUGACUGGAAAAAUAAUGGACAGGGAUACAAAGGAAGCUCAUUGAAGUAUAUUGUAUAAUCAUGUCUGCAUGAAGGAAAAUACCUCUGAUGGUUAACCCCAGUUUUCCUUGUCCUCUUUCUACAGUAUUUCAAACAGAGGUAUGGCAACCUGGCCCUAGUACCGUAACAACAUAAGAGUGUUCACUUUUCAACUCUGUUUUGUUUUCCUCCAGCUUUUUUGCCAGUAGCUGACUGCUACUGGCACGUACCUCCAAAUUCACUUCACUCUUCUGCUGUAAUGCUAUCCCAUUCCUCUUCUGUAUCACAUACGGGGCUCAUUUUGACAAAACUCUGUCCCUAGCCUUUGAUGCUCAACCAUCUUCCAGUUGUGCAAAGGAGCUGCAGUUCUCUGUAGUCUCUUGUUUUUAUAAAAGUAGGAGGGAAAGACAGCGAGGCCGAAGCUUGUUCAAAAAAAAAUAACAUUGUUCCUUGUCAGACACUCUGUCUACACUUCAAAAUGUUCAGAUUCCUGUCAUUUAAUACAGGUGACUGCAUGAUUUGCCACAAAAAUGCAGACAUUGCUGGAGGAAAGAGAGAGCACAGUGAUCUGAAGCCAGAGUUAUCUAAGCAUGUGUGUAUGCAGGUAGUCCGGUACUGAUCCAGAGCUUUCUGGCAUGUGCGUGCAGCCCAGUUUGCUAGCACACUCUCCCCCUAUGGGACACAAAGCUGAGCCAGAGCAGUGCAUUACAGAUGCAAAGAAAACAAGACAUGGAUAGACUGUGUGGUUCACUCUAAGUCAGCUGGCAGCCUGUGCCAGAUCUGAGAGGUGAGUUAGUUGCAGACUAGCUCAUUUACCACAAGGCUCAUAAAGAGAGGAAUUUAUUACACCUCUGCUGAAUCCAACACCGUUUCAAAAAGUCAUGGCGGUCCUUAGGUUUCCCAGGUUCUACACAAACACUCGGAUACUCAACUCACUUCUCAAUAGCACUGCUGAGAAUUAGGUAAAGCAUGCAAGGCAGCCUGAAGAUUGAAAACACAUUGUGUUGUCAGUACUAUAUGGGAACAGUGGCUUUCCAGCAGCUUAGACUGUGUUUGCUAAAGCCACGUGACUUGCGCAUCUAAAGUUAGACCAUAUAUUUGCACUCGUCUUCUCUAAGGCUUUUGGUCUGUUUUAUGUGCUGAAAACACAACAUGAAUCUUCCUGGCUGCCGUGUUCAAGAUCAAACGUAAAAAAUCCAGUGAAGAAUUAAUGAGUGAAAUGCCCAGCUGCUAUUAGAGUCAUGCAUCUCGCACACUUGCAUAAACUUCAACAAAUAUAUAACUUUUAGUAAAAAUAAAUGGCAGCAACAUGACAAUGCAAGAAUGGCUGAAAUACUGCUGGAUAGUUGUCAUAUAUAUUGUGAAUCUUUCCAGUUUGCUUCAAAGGUUUUCAGUUUCGUUUGAAGUCUGGCAAGGAGCUUGCAAAACAAACAAACAAACAAAAAAGCUAAUGCAAGGCUUUCGUGGUGGAUGGUUUGAAGGUAAAAAUCAGUGGAUCUGCUUCAUUCCACCACAGUUGCAGGCACUCUAUUAAAUAGGACAGAUACUAGAUUUUAAGUCAAAUUAUUCCAAUGCACCCAGAAAUACAUAUAAGACAAGCAGCAUUUCGUCUUCUCUCUCUGGGUACAUCAUUCACAUGCACAUACCUAUGUGAGUUUUACUGAGAGAUAUCCUAGAGCGUAGGUGGGAGGUACGCAUAAGCUGACUUCUUCCCAUUCCUUGGCACAGUGCUGUGAAUAACUACACAUUCGAGUUGGUGCAGGAUCAGGCCCUGGGUCUCCAUUUCAAAAAGCAAUGCUGUUGCUUAGCAACCAUUUUCUGCCGGGAUGAAAGCAGAAACCCUGCAAAUCAUAAACAAAUAUGCAGGCCUAUGCAAAGGCCAAGUUAAAUAAAGUGGUAUCCCUUAGGCUAACUCAGCCUGCUUCUAUUUUUUUUCAUGGUGAAAAUUUCUAUCAAGAAAAAGGCAGGAUAGGGCUUGUGACUCUUGAGGUGGGGUUUCAAAAAAAAAAAAAAAAAGAAAGACAUAUGAUGCACCAGAAGUUUUCAGCCACCAUAGAAAAUAACAGUAGACAUCCAGAUGAGAUAAAAAUAAACAAAUUUGGACUUCUUUUAUCUCCAAAAUCUAAAAUAGAUUUGAAAUGUUUUUUUCUUUUCCCUAAUGUAUUAAUUACAAAUAUCUGUUCUUUUUCCCCAAAAAAACUUAAUACGGAAUUGAGUGGAUGUGAAAUUGCUUCUGAUGCCUUUACAGUUAUUUUUAUUCAUGUCAGUCAGACAUACUCAUGCACUGAAAUUUCAUUAAUGCUUAAGGUUUUAAAAAGAGAGCCACUGUCACCAGACUGCUGAGCUGGUGCUGUUGAGUUUGCUUGCUGAUAGCGAGGUGCUCACUGGCAAAUUGCUAACAGUCAGAUUUUCAAAGAUCUUUGUAUCCCCAGAAAUGCCGCUGUCACCUAGACAUCACAUUUUUAAACAGAAAUCUUUCAGCUCAAACUGGAGACAGCUGCAAGAUAGGUAACCAGAAACCAAAGGCAACCAACUUGGCUCCUGCUGCUACAGCAAAGAGGAAAUCAGGAAAACUGCCUGGCAAGUGGAAGGAAACAAAAUCAGAAUUUUUUGUAGGGAAGAUUUUGAUAAGAGUCAGGAAUCUUCAGCAGCAUGGUGACAACUUUCCCUUAAAAAAGAAGGGAAUCAAGAACAUUUGAAAAUUCUUAAUGAUGAUGUUUUAUAACUUAUACUAAAAAUAAAGUGAUACAUUCAUAAGUUUAA